GUCCUGUUAGGGCUUAUUUUAUAAGACAUAUGAUUUAUAUUCAUUUCAAUGCAAUUAAUUGCACGAUAGGUCAAAUAGAUACUGUUCAUUCCAAUAAGAAUCAUCUGAAGUGUGAUCUAUACGAUUACUUCACAAAUGGUAAAAGUGACCUGAAGGCUCAUGUGAAUUAUGUUCAUUUGUGUAUGAUACAACAUAACUGUCUUCUUUGUAAUUAUGUUACUAUCAGAGAAAGGAAUUUAAAAAAUCAAGUCAAUUCUGCCCAUUUUUAGAUGAGGGUUCAUAAGUGCCAUUUGUGUGAUUUUAUAUCGAUUUGAAAAAUAUCUUUCAGGGAGCAUAUGAAAGAUUCCCAUUAAGAUGCUACAUUUGUGGAUAUCAAUGACGCAGUAGGUGGUGUCAAAUUAGUGAAAUUGUGUAGGAAAUGUAGAUUGGCAACUGGACAAACCCGUUAUGAACAAAGAAAACUUCCGAUAAUAAAUUAAAAUAUUUGCCGAUCAAAGUUAAAAUACAACCUAACCAAGAUGGUUUUACCAGGAAGAAGUUUGAAGCGGAAUAAAUGUGGAUGGACAAUUGGACACGGCCCCACCAUAUGAUCAAAGAUUAUAUAAUCUUUGCAUAUGAUUCAUUUGCUUAAUCAAACCUAUAUAUGUUCUAGAGACUGUAGUAUUGAGUUAAAGGAAGAAUGAGAAUCCUCAGAAGAACGAAUAUGGUUGAAUAGUGAUUUCAACGACUUGCGACUACGUAUUGUUGACCAUAGAUUAAAGGUGCCAAUCACGUUGAUGGAAAUUCGCUAGUGCUGCCCAACAACGAAGAAAGAAACUGCCCACAAGAAGUCAGAAGUCAUUCAGGUAUAUAAACCUCUCUUCAAUUUUUGAUAUAAACAUGUAUAUUCAUCGAUAUUUAUGUGAAAAAUUCAUUUACACUACUAUUUUUUCUCUUAUUCUAUGACAAAAACUGUAUAAUUUCACGAAAUAAAGAAAGAAAUUGAAAAAA